UCUUUCUUAUAUCAUAGUUGAUCUCGUAUCGUAGUAUGGAGUUAUCUGCUGAGACCUUGAAACCAUUGGACGUUAUUAUGGUCAUGUGAGCAUUUGACUAACAAAGUAACAAGUCACAACCCACUUUAAGGUGGGGCUAGAUAUGCAGAUCUUGCUCUGGUUCGAGGUCAGUCAUUUUCACCUAUUUUCCUGCUUUCUGACUAAGAAAACUUCUUAAAAAAAAUACAAGUCCAGCUAUCACUAUGAGUCUAUGACUUCAUUGACUUGUGAGGUUUGUUCCCCUCAUGCUUCCCUAUCUUCUUAACUCUGCCAAUUCAAAAACUAUACUUAGAUUUCAUUGGAGCUAUCAAUCCUGGUACAAUGCAGCUACAGGAAUGCGGACUGGAUCUUAAUAGAACCGUAACAAUUGAAUAUCUACGUUAUGAUCUCGUUGAUGAAAGAGACUUGGCAUGCUCACAUGAUGCUACGUCAUGCUUCGUUUAGUGAACAAAAGAAGAAGCAAAUGGUCAAAAGAGUUAAGAAGAAACUCGGACCUAAACCUAAUCUGGUAAAAAAGUUGUACUGUUUAAUCAAUAGCAUUUCAAUUAACUAGUAUAUAGUAUUUUAUUUAAUAAAUUUCUUAUGAUUAAAACUAGCAAAUUUCUUCUUCGUUUCUUUUGGGGCAUUAAUUUUGAAGAUAUUAGAAUCUUUGAUCAUUUGAUGGGUUGUCUCUCUGAUAUAGGCACAGCCCUGGGUAUGCACUAUGCAGCUGAAACCCUAUAACACCUGCUGAGCUCAAUGAAGCUUGCAAGGCUGUGACUGGCUCAUCUGUCAGCAGUCAUCUUGUUGAUAUCCUUUCACAAUUUUUGAUAUAAAU